GUAGCUUAAAAAANGCACCUUGCUUACACCGAGUUGUUGUUUGUCAANCCCAAACUGUUCUGA
rnacentral:tRNA from 1 species